GAGCUGGCUGAUGGAGUGUAUUGCUGUGGCCAGAGUUGGGCGGUGACUAGCGGCGGUCAGGACUGCUCACCUUCGGUCAGGUUCAGAAAGGCAAGAAGAUGGAGCGCAGUACUGGCUUCCUGCUGAACGUCGGCAGCAGUGGAGGGGCCCGGAAGCGCUAUCCGAACAACGUGAGCCUCUGGCAGAGAAAAGAAAGCUCUAAAACUGUGUACUCCAGCGGGCUUCGGAACGGGGCCCACAGCGGUGUCUGGGUCUUGGGUGAAACAGACCGAGGCGGAAAAGAUGUGGGCGCGGCUCCCGCCUUUGAGGCUCCGAGGAGCCCUGAGAUCUAGGUUCUGGAGGCUCCCGGAGGCAGUAGGGUGAUUGCCCUUCAAAGAGCAUCCACCCGGUCGUUUGUUUGGCUAUGUACCUUCAGCUGGUGGUACCGCCACAUCACGUAGGAGUCGUCUCCAUUUUAUUGAUUGGGAAUGUAAGACUCAAAGAACUCAGGUUUACUGGCCAAGAUGGCAUAGUCACCAACAUGAAGUUCUGCCAUAGUGACUAUGAUCAGCUCUUAGCCAGGCCAUGAUGUACCCAUGUAACCACAAACCUUGAAGACCUGCGAGUUCAAUACCAGUUUCUGCCAGACUGAC
ensembl:processed_transcript uncharacterized LOC110302469